GAAUUCGAUUCAGGCAUAACACAUGCAAGUCGUACGAGAGUUUCUGACUCUGGUGGCGGACGGGUGAGUAACACGUGAGAAUCUGCCCUAAGGAGGGGGAUAACAGCUGGAAACGGUUGCUAAUACCCCAUAUGCCGAAAGGUAAAAGGAUGUAUCCACCUUAGGAAGAGCUCGCGCCUGAUUAGCUAGUUGGUGAGGUAACGGCUCACCAAGGCCAUGAUCAGUAGCUGGUUUGAGAGGAGGAUCAGCCACACUGGGACUGAGACACGGCCCAGACUCCUACGGGAGGCAGCAGUGGGGAAUUUU
rnacentral:rRNA from 1 species